GUAAGGUUCUGUGAGGUUAAUAGUUGUUUCAGGGUAAGGUUCUGUGAGGUUAAUAGUUGUUUCAGGGUAAGGUUCUGUGAGGUUAAUAGUUGUUUCAGGGUAAGGUUCUGUGAGGUUAAUAGUUGUUUCAGGGUAAGGUUCUGUGAGGUUAAUAGUUGUUUCAGGGUAAGGUUCUGUGAGGUUAAUAGUUGUUUCAGGGUAAGGUUCUGUGAGGUUAAUAGUUGUUUCAGGGUAAGGUUCUGUGAGGUUAAUAGUUGUUUCAGGGUAAGGUUCUGUGAGGUUAAUAGUUGUUUCAGGGUAAGGUUCUGUGAGGUUAAUAGUUGUUUCAGGGUAAGGUUCUGUAAGGUUAAUAGUUGUUUCAGGGUAAGGUUCUGUGAGGUUAAUAGUUGUUUCAGGGUAAGGUUCUGUGAGGUUAAUAGUUGUUUCAGGGUAAGGUUCUGUCAGGUUAAUAGUUGUUUCAGGGUAAGGUUCUGUGAGGUUAAUAGUUGUUUCAGGGUAAGGUAAGGUUCUGUCAGGUUAAUAGUUGUUUCAGGGUAAGGUUCUGUGAGGUUCUGUCUGGUUAAUAGUUGUUUCAGGGUAAGGUUCUGUCAGGUUAAUAGUUGUUUCAGGGUAAGGUUCUGUCAGGUUAAUAGUUGUUUCAGGGUAAGGUUCUGUGAGGUUAAUAGUUGUUUCAGGGUAAGGUUCUGUCAGGUUAAUAGUUGUUUCAGGGUAAGGUUCUGUCAGGUUAAUAGUUGUUUCAGGGUAAGGUUCUGUAAGGUUAAUAGUUGUUUCAGGGUAAGGUUCUGUCAGGUUAAUAGUUGUUUCAGGGUAAGGUUCUGUCAGGUUAAUAGUUGUUUCAGGGUUAGGUUCUGUCAGGUUAAUAGUUGUUUCAGGGUAAGGUUCUGUCAGGUUAAUAGUUGUUUCAGGGUAAGGUAAGGUUCUGUAAGGUUCUGCAAGGUUAAUAGGCGAGUGUCAUGAUACUGUUUUGCUUUAGUUUUGCCUUUUUAUUAUUUUAUUUACAUUUUGUCUGAAUUUACUUAAAAUCCUGAACUAGGAUAAAAAAAUCUGGGUUUGUGUUUUAGAGGUGGUUGGAACUCUGAUCUUGUCCAUCGGUUGUUUUUGAAUGUAAUUUUUGUAAUACAAAAAGUGACUGUUGUAAAAAUGUUGUACAGGAUUGGAUACUGUAUAUAAUUCUAAUAAAAUCAAAUGUUUUCUUUAAACGGA